rnacentral:rRNA from 1 species
UACGGAGGGGGCUAGCGUUAUUCGGAAUUACUGGGCGUAAAGCGCACGUAGGCGGAUUGGAAAGUCAGAGGUGAAAUCCCAGGGCUCAACCUUGGAACUGCCUUUGAAACUCCCAGUCUUGAGGUCGAGAGAGGUGAGUGGGAUUCCGAGUGUAGAGGUGAAAUUCGUAGAUAUUCGGAGGAACACCAGUGGCGAAGGCGGCUCACUGGCUCGAUACUGACGCUGAGGUGCGAAAGCGUGGGGAGCAAACAGG